rnacentral:lncRNA from 1 species
AGGAUGAGCUUGGAGUCAGACUGCCUGGCUUUAAAUCCCAGCUCUUCUGCCUACCGUGAAUUUCAGUUAACUAUUACUUUGUGCAUGGCUCUCCCCCCACCCCCCCAAAAAGCCCCACAAAACCUUCAGUGGCUUAAAACGAGUGUAUGUUAUUACUUAUGAAUCUGUAGAUCAGAUGGUUGGUUCUGAUCAUCUGGGUUAAAUUUGGCUCAAUUCAGCUGAGCUGAUUUCAUCUAGGAUUGCAUUUCUAUCUGGCCACCUGACAGGUUGGCUGGAAGCUGGCUGGUCUAUGGUGGCUUCUCACAUUUCUGGCCAUAGGCUGGCUCUCUGCUGGAUGAUGGAGAGUUACUGAGGCACACGUCUCUCAUCAUUUAUCAGGCAAGUCUGGGCUUGUUCACAUGGUGGCCACAGGAUUCCAAGAGGUAGUAGAAACGUAGGAGAUCUCUUGAGGUCUACACUUAGAAUUUUUUGACCUCAUUUCUUAUUUCAUUCCUUAAAUGUUAAUUAAUUCUGCCAUGUUCUGUUGGUUCCAGGCAAGUCAUGAGGCCAGACAAGAUUUAAGAUGUAAGGAAAGUAACUGUGCCUUGAGGAGAGGGACUGCAGUGUCACAUUGCUGGGGGUGUGGAUACAGGAAGGGUGGCGAAUUGGGCCCAUUUUAUAAUCAUUCUACCAUAUAGCGUGCUUAUGCACAAAUCUCUUCAUAUCUUUGAAUCUGCUUCCUAACUUGUAAAGAUGGUUAGGGGAGUAAUGAUACCUUUUGAGACAAUUUUGAAGAUUAGAUAAAAGUCUAUGUAAAGUGUCUAAGGUAGUGUCUUAAUAUAUGCCAGUAUGUUUAUUAUUAUUAUGUUUAUUAUUAUUAUUACUUGGUAAUAAUUAGCUGUUUUAUAUUCAUGACUAAAAUAACCACAGUAAUCCUGUGAUACUGUCAUUAUUUCCUUCUUACAGCUAAGGAGACAGACUGGGUUGUCUUAAGUUACCAAUAUGCGAAGGUUGGUGGUAGAUCCAACAUUUGAAGCAAGACUUUUUUUUUUCUUUUUUUUUCCUUGCUUUGAAAAUUUAAUAAUUGCCUUUUAGAGCCAGUACAGGGGGGUAAAACAUGUGGGCUCUGGAACUAUCUGUGUUAGAGUCCUUGUGCCAGACCUUUAAAUUACUUAACCUCUUUGUGCCUCACUUUCGAGAGAAGGAGAUUGCUUACCUUGCAAGGUUGUGGGUGAUGACUAAAUGAACUAAUGUACAUUAAAUGUUUGGAACUGUGGGUAUAGGCUAGGCGGAUACUCAGUAAGUUGUUAUUUCUUCUCCUCUCAUUAAUACACCAUGCUACUUUUAGUCUGAACCUUUUAAAAGCUCUCUUAUUGAAAACAUUAAAUGAGGCUGAAAUUAUUACCCUUUUAUAAUUUUUUUCAUCAAGUAGUAUUAACCUUUAUGGUUAGUUUCCUAAUAUAAUAAUUAUGGAUUUUACUGGUGUGAAUUGCUUAUAUUAUAUAGGAACAUUUCACUUUGAGGGAAAAUUACUCCAUGGUAUUUUUCCCCCCACCUCCUUUCUGAGCUUUUCUUACAUAAUGUCAUUUAUUUCUAUGGCUUCUGUUCAGUGUUGGUUACUCCCAAAUUAACAUAAGAAGUUUGACCUCGUUCCUGAUUUCAUUCCUUAAUUGUUUUUUCUUCUCUCUCCAAUUAGUAAUUAAAUUUACUAUUUUUGUUCUUUCUCACACUCUCUCUUCUCCUUUAUGCUUAUUGCUUUUGGUUUAGUGAAGAUCCUUCUCAUUUUUUUCUUUUUCUUUGAUACCUGAUUUUAUUUGAAACUCUUAGAGGUUUUUUUUUUUUUCUUCCCCAUUUUUUGGCCAUCCCACGGCAUGUGGCAUUCCUGGGCCAGGGAUCAGUUCCGAGCUGCAAUCGCAACCUAAGCUGCAGCUGAGGCAAAGCCAGAUCCUUAACCCACUGUGCCAGGGGAUUGAACCUGCAUCCCAGCACUCCCAAGAUGCUGUUGAUCCUGUUGUGUCACAGCAGGGACUCCUAGAACAUUUUAUUUUUGACUAGACUCAGACGUAGGGGACAGCUUCUCUCUCUCAGUAGCCUGUUCCUAGCAGUUUUUCUUUGGCCUCCUUCAUUCUCUUGGCCAACAGUUUAGUGUAUUCUGCAGGCUUUCCUUACUGUUCUUGGUACCCUGUUCCUUCAAAGCAGUAUGCUGAUGUUUGUGUUGCAGGACACGUGGAGUAACAAACAUUGAUGAUGGGUUUUUUGGUCCUAGGUUUCUUACCUCUUUGUUUAGGGCUUUCUUACAACGUACUGGUGAACAUCCUCUUCUUCAGAGAGAUCAAAAAGUUUGUGAAUCCUAGCUAUUUUGGUCUCCAGUCAGUCAGCAUAUACAUGAUUUACAUUCUUUUCUUCCAUUCCCUUGAUGAUUUCACUUUCUUUUGUUUUUGUCUUUUCUAGGGCCGCACCCAUGGCCUAUGGAGGUUCCCAGGCUAGGGGUCUAAUCAGAGCUGUAACCGCCAGCCUACGCCAGAGCCACAGCAUCUGUCUGAAACCUACACCACAGCUCAUGGCAAUGCCGGAUCCUUAACCCACUGAGCAAGGCCAGAGAUCGAACCUGCAACCUCUUGGUUCCUAGUUGGAUUUGUUAACCAUUGAGCCACGACAGGAACUCCUUGAUAGUUUCACUUUCUUGGUGUUACCUUUUGAAGCACAAAAGUUUUUUGGUUUUGUUAUAAAUCCCCACUUACCCUUGUAUUAAGAGUUGAGCCCAGUCUCUCUCCUUUGUUGUUAUAUAGUCUUGACACUUAAAGGGGUCUGGAAUAAGCUAUUGUGUGGCAUUAAAAUUAUUUCGUGAAGGAUGCAUUUGAGUUCCUGAAAUCUCUGAUCUGCUUAAAAGCAGAUAGUUCUUCCCCAGAGAACCCACUUGUCCUAAAUUCUCUUGUCAGGAGUUCCUGAGGUGGCUCAGCAGGUAACGAACCUGACUAGAAUCCAUGAGGACGCAGGUUCGUUCCCUGGCCUCACUCAGUGGGUUAAGGAGCCAGGGUUGCCCUGAGCUGUGAUGUAGGUUGCAGACAGAGGCCUGGAUCUGACAUUGCUGUGACUGUGGAGUAGGCUGGCAGCUGCACCUCCAAUUCAACCCCUGGCGUGGGAACAUUUGCCGUGGGUGUGGCUCUCAAAAGACCAAAAAAAAAAAAAAAAAAAA